CCCAAGAAGGAUUGUCUUUCAGGAGGCAUGGAAAAUAUGGAGAUCUAUAGAUCUAACAGAAAACACCGGACCCAGGAAUGAAGUAGAAGCCUUGACUACUGAAGGAUAUGGGCCUGGUUGAUCCACUUCAGAUUCAUCCCCUGUUUUAUUAGAGGUUGAAAAAGGUUCAAGACCUGGUUGUACCACAGCUCCCACCGACAGCUAAGGAACCAGUUUGGCGUCUGGUUUGUCUGUUGUUUUACUGCUGACCUUCGGAUCAACUUUAACCCCUGACCUCUGGAGGCAUCUAUCAUGACAAGAGGCUGUUUAACACAAAUGGUGCCCAUUUAUAGGGGAAGAGACUCAGAAGAUUUCCUUUUUAUGAAGAAUUUAGUUUUUCACCCCUCUUUUCUCAGUCACCACAGGUGAAAUCCCUCUUAGCAGCUGGCUUAUGAAAUAAUGUGAAGGGAGGCCUUAAUGAGCAGAAAGCACCCUCAGCUGGAGAUAAAUAUAUGCAAAUGAGAUGCACAAACAAAGGAGCCUGGACAGAGAAAUAUCUGCAAUUCCAGCAAAAUGCUGCCUGCAGCUCGAAGAUGAACAGCUUUGAUAAAAUGUGGGAAAUAUUCCUUACAUAUGCUGAUGUCUCAGAUGCACCAAUCUGCAACAAGCAACUAGGAUAAAAAAUAGUUAAAAUGAAUCAACAUUUAUCCGGAAUAUACAGUCUGGACCCACUCCCCCCCCCCAAAAAAAAACGUCAUUCGUCUUCUGGGUCCUGUGAUGUUUUGAGGAUUCUGGCAAAUACGGCAGUUAAACAAACUUCUCGCACAAUCUAAAUACAGUCUGUUCAAGAGAGGCUUCCAAUGUUUAUAGAUCAUAAGUAAAGGGGAAAAAAUCUGGUAUUUAACCAAGAAUAGUGCUCUUGAAAAUGUCUCUGAACAAAGUGUUUAAGCAAAACUUUGGCCACAGAUAUUCUCAAUUCUCAUUCUUCCUCUGAUUUUUCUUUUUUCAGUGAAGAAUUUUCAUAUGCCAUCAUUUUGUUCCUUUA